rnacentral:rRNA from 1 species
UACAGAGGGUGCGAGCGUUAAUCGGAAUUACUGGGCGUAAAGCGUGCGUAGACGGUUAUUUAAGUCGGGUGUGAAAGCCCCGGGCUCAACCUGGGAAUUGCAUUCGAGACUGAAUAGCUAGGGUACGGUAGAGGGAAGCGGAAUUUCCGGUGUAGCGGUGAAAUGCGUAGAUAUCGGAAGGAACAUCUGUGGCGAAGGCGACACCCUGGACCAGCACUGACACUGAGGCACGAAAGCGUGGGGAGCAAACAGG